GUGAGUCAUCGAGUCUUUGAACGCACCUUGCGCUCUCUGGUAUUCCGGAGAGCAUGCCUGUUUGAGUGUCAUGAACUCUUCAACCCACCAGUUUCUAGUAAAUUGGAUGGUGUGUGGAUUUUGAGUGUUGCUGGUCCUUUCCGACGUAGCUCAUUCGUAAUACAUUAGCAUCUCAAUUUCGAACUUCGGAUUGACUCAGCGUAAUAGACUAUUCGCUGAGGACACCUCACGGUGGCCGAAUAAGAAGACAGUUAGAAGCUUCUAAUCAGAUCUUAGUCGACUUUUAGAUUAGUACCUCAGAUCAGGCAGGAUUACCCGCUGAACUUAAGCAUAUCAAUAAGCGGAGG
rnacentral:rRNA from 1 species